rnacentral:rRNA from 1 species
UCGAACGAGAGCGACCGGUGCUUGCACUGGUCAAUCUAGUGGCGGACGGGUGAGUAACACGUGGGUAACCUGCCCAUCAGAGGGGGAUAACAUUCGGAAACGGAUGCUAAAACCGCAUAGGUCCUUUAACCGCAUGGUUGAAGGAGGAAAAGAGGCGCAAGCUUCUGCUGAUGGAUGGACCCGCGGUGCAUUAGCUAGUUGGUGAGGUAACGGCUCACCAAGGCCGUGAUGCAUAGCCGACCUGAGAGGGUGAUCGGCCACAUUGGGACUGAGACACGGCCCAAACUCCUACGGGAGGCAGCAGUAGGGGAAUCUUCCGCAAUGGACGCAAGUCUGACGGAGCAACGCCGCGUGAGUGAAGAAGGUUUUCGGAUCGUAAAACUCUGUUGUUAGAGAAGAUCAAGUGCUAGAGUAACUGUUAGCGCCUUGACGGUAUCUAACCAGAAAGCCACGGCUAACUACGUGCCAGCAGCCGCGGUAAUACGUAGGUGGCAAGCGUUGUCCGGAUUUAUUGGGCGUAAAGCGAGCGCAGGCGGUCCCUUAAGUCUGAUGUGAAAGCCCCCGGCUCAACCGGGGAGGGUCAUUGGAAACUGGGGAACUUGAGUGCAGAAGAGGAGAGUGGAAUUCCAUGUGUAGCGGUGAAAUGCGUAGAUAUAUGGAGGAACACCAGUGGCGAAGGCGACUCUCUGGUCUGUAACUGACGCUGAGGCUCGAAAGCGUGGGUAGCAAACAGGAUUAGAUANCCUGGUAGUCCACGCCGUAAACGAUGAGUGCUAAGUGUUGGAGGGUUUCCGCCCUUCAGU